UUUCCGCAGCUGAGCGGCGACCCGGGCGGCGGCGGCGGUCGAGGAGCUCCCAUGGCAGGGACGAGGCGGAGGGAAGGCGAAAGGGGGGCGAGGAGUUAAGCCAGAGCCUCCGCGGGGCGGGUUUCCGAGGGAGGCACAGAGGGAAACGGCUUUCGCAGCCGGAGGAGGGUCGGGCGCGGAGCUUGUCGCCCCUCUCGCGCAUUCUGUCCAGCCCGGGCUCCGGAGAUGCAUCUGCAUCAGGUCCUCACCGGGGCUGUCAACCCUGGAGACAACUGCUACUCCGUGGGCAGCGUCGGGGAUGUCCCCUUCACGGCAUAUGGAUCAGGCUGUGAUAUUGUUAUUUUGGCAAAUGACUUUGAAUGUGUACAGAUCAUUCCUGGUGCUAAGCAUGGAAACAUCCAAGUCAGCUGUGUGGAGUGUUCUAACCAACAAGGAAGAAUUGCAGCUUCAUAUGGUAAUGCUGUUUGUAUAUUUGAGCCCUUGGGCAUAAAUUCUCAUAAAAGAAAUUGUGUAAGUAUUAACCAAUAAUAGACUACUUUUAGAAUCUAGUUAACUUUAGAAUCCAAUUGAUGUUAAUAAAAAGCUCCUUAGGAGCUAGUGCUGAAAAUAGACUAGAGUAUCAGUGAAAAAUUGGUCUAGUGCUUUAUGUUAGGAUCCUUACAUUCACUAGGGACACAUCCCUAGUGCUUUUAGAAACCCAAGUCUCUAGAAUAUUGCAAAUUGAUAUUUACUGUGUUAAUUGAGAUCUACCCUAGUUUGAACUACUGUUACUUCUUGUCGGAUUACUAAUCUCUAUCUGAUAUUUGGUUUCCUGCUGCCUUCAACCCCAGUCUCUGUUCUCAACAGAGCAGAUCAUGACAUUUCUCUGCUUAAAACUUUGUAAUGGUUCCAUAUUUCUCUCUCUUUUUUCUUUUGUUUUGAGACAGGGUCUCACUCUAUCCCCUAGGCUGGAGUGCAGUGGCAUGAUCACUGCUCACUGCAGCCUCAACCUGUCAAAUGGUCCUCCCACCUCAACCUCCCAAGUAGAUGGGACUACAGGCAUGUACCACCAUGGCCAGCUAAGUUUUAAAUUUUUCGUAGAGAUGGAGUUUCCCUGUGUUGCUCAGGCUGGUCUUGAACUCUGGGGCUAAGUGAUCCUCCCACUUCAGCCUCCCAAAUUGCUGGAAUUAUGGGCAAGAGCCACCAUGCCCAGCUGCUCCAUAUUUCUUUCAGAUAAAAAGCCAAAAGCCUUUUGUAGUCUACAACUUCCUUUCUACUCAAUACCACACUUACUGUGUCUCAGAGCUCACCUCCUAAGUUCUUGUCCUCUCUGGUUCUACUCUGGCCACAUUGGCAUUUUUACUGUUUCUCAGUUAACCUUCCCUCUUUGAGCCUUUGUGUUGGUUGUUUUCUUUGUCAGGAAUGUUAGUCCUCCAGCUAUCUCCAAGGAUAGCUCCCAUAGAUCCUUUAGGUCUUUGCUCACUAAUACCUUGUCAAUGAGGUUUACCUUGACUACCCUUUAAAAAAUUGUACCCCCACUUAUCUUGCUAUUUAAAAAUUUUUUUACAGCAUUUAUUUAUUUAUUGUUUACGAUGUAGAAUGUUAUCUAAAGGUACAUAAGGGUAGGAAGCUUUUUUCACUGAUGAAUCCCCAGUACUUAGAACAGUAUCUGGAACAGCCAGGUGUGGUGGCUCACACCUGUAAUCCCAACACUUUGGGAGGCCGAGGCGGGUGGAACACGAGGUCAGGGGUUUGAGAUCAGCCUGGCCAACAUGGUGAAACGCCGUGUCUACUAAAAAUAAAAAAAUUACCCAGGUGUGGUGGCACAUGCCUAUAGUCCCUGCUGCUCAGAAGGCUGAGGCAGGAGAAUCGCUUGAACCCAGGAGGUGGAGGUUGCAGUGAGCCUGGACUGCACCAUUGCACUCCAGCUUGGGAGUCAGAGCAAGACUCCAUCUCAAAAAAAAAAAAAAAAAAAAAAAAAAA
rnacentral:sRNA from 1 species